rnacentral:rRNA from 1 species
CCUACGGGAGGCAGCAGUGAGGAAUAUUGGUCAAUGGACGAGAGUCUGACCCAGCCAAGUAGCGUGAAGGAUGACUGCCCUAUGGGUUGUAAACUUCUUUUAUAAAGGAAUAAAACGAGGCACGUGUGCCUUUUUGCAUGUACUUUAUGAAUAAGGAUCGGCUAACUCCGUGCCAGCAGCCGCGGUAAUACGGAGGAUCCGAGCGUUAUCCGGAUUUAUUGGGUUUAAAGGGAGCGUAGAUGGGUUGUUAAGUCAGUUGUGAAAGUUUGCGGCUCAACCGUAAAAUUGCAAUUGAUACUUGCAGUCUUGAGUACAGUUGAGGUAGGCGGAAUUCGUGGUGUAGCGGUGAAAUGCUUAGAUAGCACGAAGAACCCCGAUUGCGAAGGCAGCUUACUAAACUGUGACUGACAUUGAUGCUCGAAAGUGUGGGUAUCAAACAGGAUUAGAUACCCCAGUAGUC